UUGCUUUGGUAUGGGUUUGAGAACGACU
rnacentral:sRNA from 1 species